CACUAAUAAAACAAUUAAACACAGACUGAAGACAGAUAAUACAUAAAAGAGUUCACAUUUCACAAAGACAGUCACACAGGUUACAGGUAGUUGUCCACAAACAUAGCAGUUGAGUGCUUGGCUAAUUGGCUUGGUCGCUUGGAUGAAAUAAGACACAACAAGCACAAUAGCAGCAGCACUGCAGCAGUCCACUCUCCACUGUCCACACCCCACAAACACAGAGAGUUUCUGCUUCAGGCAUCAUACACAGAUACACCCAUACUUCAAGCAUAGCAGCAACAACAGUCCACAAUACACUCCAGCUCUAGGUGACCUGCAACAAAGAAAAUAUGUUGCAUAAUUUAAUAACCUGCUUGAAGGUCAAAAAUGAUUAAAUGAACAAAAAACUAGGGAAAACUGACCUGAAUGUAGAUUGUUGACUUGUUGCUUGCUUUCCAAUUUUCAGUCAGUUAUCAUACUAUUAGGAUCAUCCUAACAGUAAAAAUAGUGAAAAUAGAUAAAUCCAUGUUAAUAUUUAACAAACAAAUGUAACAAUAAAAGAUGCUAAAGGGUAAGUGUUUGUUCUUACCAUUUCAUCCUCCUCAUCUUCCAAACAAGUCAUCAAUGCAUUAAUAAAGCAAGAUUUAUCACCUAGCAUGUCAGCACGUGACCACACUUGCAUGCACAUCAGUGCUUGGCGCAGGCUGGUGAGAGACCUAUGGCGCGGGCGACCUCCAGCGCGUGGCUGGGCAGCAGAUCGGCCGUCGACGAGGUCAGCGGCCAACCGGCAACAAGCGAGUGGGCGACCUCCGACUCUGAUGUGCUGUUGGACGACCUCCGGCGCUGGCGUGGACGGUGGGCCUCCGGCGUAGGCGUGGACGCCUGGACGGUGGGUCGACGACGACUGACCGCGGUGGCGCGGUCACUCGGUGUGACUUACGGUGGGCGGCGGCUGCGAGCAAGAGAGUGGCCGAGUGGGGAUGCUAGCUGCUGGGAGGGGAUUAGGUUUAGGUCUCGG
rnacentral:lncRNA from 1 species